AAGUUUUGAUCUAGUAGUACAACUCUAUGUUUUGAUGAUUACAAGUUAACCUUUUGAUAUGAACAAUUGUGGUACUCUAACGUGUUUUUCUGAGUGUGCUAUUUACAGGCUCUGACCUCUAUUCAAUCUCACACAAAUCAGAAGCACUGUGCUUAAAGAGUGAACCAAGCAACGCUUUCGCAUUCACCAUGUUCAGUAUGAACAGUGGAAAAGCUUCAGAAGUUCUGAAGUUAUACAAACUCUGAUGUGGACUCAGUCACUAGAAGCUAUGAAGAUCCAGAAGUUCUGAUAACCAAGAAACACUGAAGGUUCAGAUGUUCUGAUGGUGUAGAAGACU
rnacentral:lncRNA from 1 species